AUUGAAAUCGCAGGUCGCGCAGUUUGGGCACAACCCACAAAGGUCAAGGAGCGCGCUCCACUGUCCUCCUUUAUUUAUUUACUAAGCAUGAUAACACAUCAGUCCAGACAGACAGAAGUACCCGCUUGAGAGAGAAAUUUGCAGAAGAGGACUAAAGUGGGUACCUGAUCGCGUUUCACUCCAUUGCAGUGGCUUGGCAGGAGAAAACAGUCGUGCCCGUCUUGUUUGCAGUCUCUGCUUGUUCCACCUUGAAGGACACCUGACCCUGUCAUCCUGCAGAUGUAAGGAACUUGUUGUGAACCUCCCAGCCACCAGGAUAAUCCCCAUAUCCAAGGAUUUUAUUAAGGACUGUGCAAUAUCACAAUGUUAGGACUGGAUUCACCAGCUAUUGUUUAUCAUGCAGAUUUGUCUGAACAUCGUAAUUUAUGAAACUCAUUCUUAAAUACAGACAUGAAUUUCUGUCCCAGGGAAUAGCACUAUGUGCACAUCUUCAAUUUAGAUCACAAUGAUUUAAAUGAGGUGUUUAGUAAAGGGCUGGAACAGAAACGUGUAAACUCCUGUCCUGUGUAUAAAAACAAUCCUGUGGUGGUCAUGACAAAAUCAUGUAGUGAACAAUCUAUUGAACGUUGGAGGUUAAUCUCUUGGAGAUGUCACUCACGUGGGAAUGUGUCACUCACGUGGGAAUGUGUCACUCACGUGGGAAUGUGUCACUCACGUGGGAAUGUGUCACUCACGUGGGAAUGUGUCACUCACGUGGGAAUGUGUCACUCACGUGGGAAUGUGUCACUCACGUGGGAAUGACUUAUUUUCUACAAUGGACUGUGUAUUAAGGACUCGUGCACAGGUACAGAAACAACUAUAAAAGUGUAACAUUUAUUCCAAAUUGCAAGUGAUGCCUUCACGUGUUUUGGUUUUGAGAAAUCAACAGAAGAAAGGCAUCAAUAAUAUUCCCAUGCUGUAUUCAUUUAAUUGAAUAUAUAUCCUAUUUGAUAUGCAUUUAAAUAUACUGAACACAAAUAUAAACACCUCAUGCAACAAUUUCAACAACUUUAUUGAGUUACAGUUCAUAUAAGGAAAUCAGUCAAUUGAAAGACAAUUAUUUUAGCCCUCAUCUAUGGAUUUUACAUGACUGGGAAUACAAAUGCGCAUCUGUUGGUCACAUAUACACUAUAUAUACACACAAAAGCAUGUGGACACCCCUUCACAUUAGUGGAUUUAUCCACAUCCGUUGCUGAGAGGUGUAUUCAGUGCAUUCAGGAAAGGAUUCAGACCCCUUCACAUUAGUGGAUUUAUCCACAUCCGUUGCUGAGAGGUGUAUACAGUGCAUUCAGGAAAGGAUUCAGACCCCUUGACAUUAGUGGAUUUAUCCACAUCCGUUGCUGAGAGGUGUAUACAGUGCAUUCAGGAAAGGAUUCAGACCCCUUGACAUUAGUGGAUUUAUCCACAUCCGUUGCUGAGAGGUGUAUACAGUGCAUUCAGGAAAGGAUUCAGACCCCUUCACAU